rnacentral:rRNA from 1 species
CCCUUAGAUGUUCUGGGCCGCACGCGCGCUACACUGAUGCAUUCAACGAGCCUAUCCUUGACCGACAGGUCCGGGUAAUCUUUGAAUCUGCAUCGUGACGGGGAUAGAUUAUUGCAAUUAUUAAUCUUCAACGAGGAAUGCCUAGUAAACGCAAGUCAUCAGCUUGCAUUGAUUACGUCCCUGCCUUUUGUACACACCGCCCGUCGCUCCUACCGAUUGAAUGAUCCGAUGAAUAUCAUGGAUUGAGGAUGCAAGUAGGUUCACCUAUCUUCAUCUUCGAGAAGUGAAGUAAAUCUUAUCAUUUAGAGGAAGGAGAAGUCGUAACA